GACGUAGGGCGCGAGCGUUGUCCGGAUUUAUUGGGCGUAAAGAGCUCGUAGGCGGCUCAUUGCGUCAACCGUGAAAACCAGCAGCUCAACUGUUGGCUUGCGGUUGAUACGGGUGGGCUGGAGUUCGGUAGGGGAGACUGGAAUUCCUGGUGUAGCGGUGAAAUGCGCAGAUAUCAGGAGGAACACCCGUGGCGAAAGCGGCUCUCUGGGGCGGUACUGACGCUGAGACGCGAAAGCGUGGGGAGCAAACAGG
rnacentral:rRNA from 1 species